GGAAGGAUCAUUAAAUAAUUUGAUAUUCUGAUUUUUUUUCCUUUACUGGGAAAACUUCAGUAAUAUUCUAUUUUACUGUGAACUGUAUUAUUACGAGAUGUUUGAGGAACGCUUGCCGACUAUAAGGAUAGGUCGGUAGGAUGUUAACCGAGUCUUGAUCAAGCUUUCUUUUUAAGCUUGGUAUCCUAUUAUUAUUUACCAAAAGAAUUCAGUAUAAAAUAUUGUAACAUAGACCUAAAAAUCUAUAAAAACAACUUUUAACAACGGAUCUCUUGGUUCUCGCAUCGAUGAAGAACGUAGCAAAGUGCGAUAACUAGUGUGAAUUGCAUAUUCAGUGAAUCAUCGAGUCUUUGAACGCAUCUUGCGCUCAUUGGUAUUCCAAUGAUCACGCCUGUUUCAGUAUCAGAAACACCCCACAUUCAAAAUCUUUUUUUUGAGUGGAACUGAGUCGUUUACGGUCCAAGAAUUUAUUCUAGACUGUUCGCUUUAAAAUCAUUAGGCCUGGAAUUUAGUAUUUUCUGCUUGCCUGAACUUUUUUUUUAAUAUAAAGGAAAAGCUCUUGUCGAACUGUAAAGUCUAAAAGCUUUGGGGCCUCCCAAAUAAAACUUUCUUAAAUUUGAUCUGAAAUCAGGCGGGAUUACCCGCUGAACUUAAGCAUAUCAAUAAGCGGAGGAAAAGAAAAUAACAAUGAUUUCCCUAGUAACGGCGAGUGAAGAGGAAAGAGCUCAAAGUUGGAACCUGUUUGGCUUAGCUAAACCGGAUUGUAAACUGUAGAAGUGUUUUCCAGACACGCCUGGUAAAAAAGUCCUUUGGAACAGGGCAUCAUAGAGGGUGAGAAUCCCGUCUUUGGCCAGAGCUGUUGUCUUUUGUGAUACAUUUUCAAAGAGUCAGGUUGUUUGGGAAUGCAGCCUAAAUUGGGUGGUAAAUCUCACCUAAAGCUAAAUAUUUGCGAGAGACCGAUAGCGAACAAGUACCGUGAGGGAAAGAUGAAAAGAACUUUGAAAAGAGAGUUAAACAGUAUGUGAAAUUGUUAAAAGGGAACCGUUUGGAGCCAGACUGGCUUGACUGUAAUCAAUCUAGGCUUCGGCCUGGAUGCACUUGCGGUUUAUGCCUGCCAACGACAAUUUUUUUUGAGGGAAAAAACUAUUAGGAAUGUGGCCCCUCUCGGGGGGUGUUAUAGCCUUUUAGAAAAUACCUUGAAUUGGAUUGAGGAACGCAGUGAAUGCCUUUAGGCAAGAUUGCUGGGCGCUUUCGCUAAUAAAUGCUAGAAUUUCUGCUUCGGGUGGUGCUAGUGUUUAAAGGAGAAACUCGUCUGGUAUAUUUUUUAUUCGCUUAGGUUGUUGGCUUAAUGACUCUAAAUGACCCGUCUUGAAACACGGACCAAGGAGUCCACCAUUAGUGCGAGUAUUUGGGUGCCAAACCCAUAUGCGUAAGGAAACUGAUUGAUACGAAAUCUUUAAGAUGGCAGUAUCACCCGGCGAUGACGUUUUAUACUGAACCGACCGAGGUAAAGCACUAAUGAUGGGACCCGAAAGAUGGUGAACUAUGCCUGAAUAGGGUGAAGCCGGAGGAAACUCCGGUGGAGGCUCGUAGCGAUUCUGACGUGCAAAUCGAUCGUCAAAUUUGGGUAUAGGGGCGAAAGACUAAUCGAACCAUCUAGUAGCUGGUUCCUGC
rnacentral:misc_RNA from 1 species